rnacentral:lncRNA from 1 species
UCAGAUUCACUUUAGUUGAUGGGAUUGGUCAUUGACUCAUAUGUUCCUUUGUUGAUUCAAUAAAUUGGCCAUGGAGAUUGAAGAAACUUCUCACAUCCAUUGUCUCUCUUUAAGAUUAAAUCAAUUAGGGAAAGUCCUCCAAUUAAUUACUAAUUAACAAUUGCCAAAGAACGUCUUUGAGCCUUAGGCCUUUUACAAUAGUCAAUCGCAUAAAGA